UCAGGGCUAGGCUCAUGUAUAGCAAGAGAGAAGAGGGGGUCAGCUAGUAUCAUGUCUCUUUUAUGACUGGUACCUGGUGGGAUUCUCUACGAUUCCACCAGGCAGGGCGAGGUUGCCCACAGAGGAAUGUUGUUGCUGUUUUAAGUGACUAUUAAUACCUGCUGGCUUUCUUUCACUCAGGCCUCUAUUGCCUGGGGAUUCGAUUGGAUUGGAGCUGUAAAGACUUGUGUUCCAUGGGGCUGGUCCCAGGGGUAAAUUGAUGGGAGGCAGGACCCUCAUUCAGGCCCGGCAGGGGGCUUCAAUCGCAGGCCUGCCCUAGCCUUUGGGCUGCCCUGCUUCUGGCUGAAGAGGACCCAGCAGGAAAUGCUAUUCCAGUGGAGCUGCACCAGACAAAGUUCUCCACCCAACAGUUCCAGUCCCAUGUUUUUUGAGAGGUUUGAUAAUCAGCUCCUCACAGCCGCUGUGUCACUUAAAACACACAGAGUGCUGAAGGAAUGGGCGAGAAACAGCACUUCCCCAGCCUUAGAAACUCAAAAAAUAACAGGAGCUGUCAGUGUAAUCCCAAAAGGGCCAACAUGAGAAGUACAGGCCACUCUGGGUGAGUUUGAAGAGGUGAAGGUGAAGUCCUUCAUCUCUAGCAUUCAGAUGUGGUGGUGUGGCUAAGAGGAUGUUGGAUCCUUAUGCGUGUGUGUACUCCUUUUGCUUUGAACUUGAAGUUCAAGUUUGUUGAAAAAUUCACUUCUCACAGUCACCAUUGUGGUCUUGACUUCACACUAAUAAAUGGAAAGAGAACUCAAAAAAUCUAUGUCCCAGGGGUUGAUUUAAAAAAAAAAAAAACAUUUUAUUAAUUUAUUUAUUUAUUUAUGUUUUGUUACAUGACUGUCACAUUAAAACUGUUGACAAUUUCAUUUGUAAAAAACCACUGACAAUUACAUUUUUAACUUAUGUAAAUAAAGAAUGAAUUAAACAAUCAUUUAUUCAUUUAUUUAAUCUAUUUUGGAUGAAACAUUUAUAUACACUUUCACAAAAAAUUGUAAAUAAAUAAAUAUAUAUAUAUAUAUAUAGAACAGACCAAAAGUUUGGAAACAUUAGUAUUUUUAAUGUUUUUGAAAGAGGUUUCUUCUGCUCAUCAAGCCUGCAUUUAUUUGAUAAAAAAUACAGAAAAAAAAUGUAAUAUUGCGAUAUAUUAUUACAAUUUAAAAUAAUUGUUUUUAAAUUUAUUAUACUUUAAAUUAUCAUUGAUGCAAAGCUGAAUUUUUAGGAUCAUUAUCACAUGAUCCUUUAGAAAUCAUUCUAAUAUGAUUCAUUAUCAAAGUUGGAAACAGUUCUGCUGCUUAAUAUUUUUUCAGAACAUGUGAUACUUUUUUAGGAUACUUUGAUGAAUAAAAAAAGUAGAAGCUAUGUUUUUAAAAAUAUAAAUAUUUUUGUAAUAACAAUAUACACUACUGGUCAGUAAUUUGGUUUUUUUUUCUUUCUUUUUUUAAAAAUAAAAGCAAUACUUUUAUUCAGCAACGACGUGUUAAAUUGAUAAAAAGUGAUAGUAAAGAAAAUAUAUUAUUAGAAUAUAUAUUUUUAGAAUUUUUAUUUUUAUUUUGAAUAAAUGCAGUUCUUUUUAACCUUUUAUUCAUCAAAUAUAUUAGACAGCAGAACUGUUUCCAACACUCAUAAUAAAUCAGAAUAUUAGAAUGAUUUCUAAAUGAUCAUGUGAUAGACUGGAUGUUACAUGUGACACUGAAGGCUGGAGUAAUGAUGCUGAAAAUUCAGCUUUGCAUCACAGGAAUAAAUUAUUUUUUUUUUUAUGUAUAUUCAAAUAGAAAACUAUUAUUUUAAGUUGUAAUAAUAUUUCACAAUAUUACUGUUUUUUCUCUAUUUUUGAUCAAAUAAAUGCAGGCUUGAUGAGCAGAAGAAACUUCUUUCAAAAACAUUAAAAAUAGUAAUGUUUCCAAACUUUUGGUCUGUACUGUAUGUAUAUAUGUAUAUAUAUAUAUAUAUAUAUAUAUAUAUAUAUAUAUAUAUAUAUAUAUAUAUAUAUAUAUAAGCUGUAAACUUGUGAAAUUAUGCAAAAACUGUGGAAUUAUUCUAUUAAUUAUUAAUUCUGUGUGUCGGGGGAUAUAAAAUUAUACCUAUUGCAAUUAGCCACAGCAAGACAAGAGAGUCGGCUGUUAUGUUAAAAUGUUAUAUUCACCACAUAAUGAUUUCAAACACAUAAUUCCUAUAUGGUGGAAAUGAGACUGUGAAAAUGGCAUUGACGCUUCAGAAAAAUUACUCUUUGAGGUAUUUUCAAUGUUGGACACUGUAACUCAUUCAAUAAACUACAAAUGUAAGUCAGAACAGUUUAAAAUUUAAAAAUGUGAGUUUACAAAAGUAAAGUUUCCAGAGUUGACGUAACACUAAAUAUUCAAAAUAUAUGACUUUAUAUUCAUGUACGCAAUGUUUCCAACUGUUUGAUACUCAAAUAGGUCAAACAAGGUUCAUAAUCAGAUACGUACACUCAGUGUACUUUUAAAUGUUGAAAGACUGCAUGAGGAGAACAUCGAACGGGAAACAGCUGAAGCGGGCAGACAUGUUCCUGCAGUGUCUGACAGUCAAUGUGACACUUUCCUCUGUUUUCACAGGUGCCUGCUGCUGGUUGUUUUAGGCAGAAGUGAGAGCAUUAGAUUGAGCGAUAUGAGGAAAGAGGUGGACAGCCCACGUCAUCACCUGCCCAGGGUCAGGUCUCCACUCAGGUCUCUCAGUGUAUGACUGCUGAUCCAACAAGAGCACAAAGUGUACUUCCUCCACACAAAUUUCUGCAUCUUAGUCAUGAGAGUCAUAAAUCAGAUUUAUUAUCCAAUCUCACGGGAAGCAUUAAGGAAACUGUGCCGGCCCAGGAGCCAUAAUGUUCUGUAUGAUGCUUUGGGGAACAGACACAGUAUGCAUUUCCUCUAUCAUUACAUAUCUAUUUUUUAUUUUUUUUGUUAAUGCUAAAAACAUUUGUGCUCCUUAAUAUUCUUAGAAUAUUCUUAGGAUUCUUUGAUGAAACAGAACACAGAAUAACUGCAUUGCUAUGAUUAUUUCUAGAAGAAUAGAGAUCAGAGAUGACAAAAGAAAGGUAUCCCUGCAGGCACAA
ensembl:lncRNA